rnacentral:lncRNA from 1 species
UUUAACUAUUCCUAUAGGUACAAUGUGAUGGCAGUGGAGUAUUUAAGAGAUUAGAAAGACAUACCCCUGCUCUUGGCUUUUUUUUUCGGAAUAUAUUAUAUGUACACGAUUAUCUACCUACUUUUUAACUCAACAUUUCUUUAUUUUUUGAUCAGAAAAAUCGAAAUCGUCUAGGACGUUCGGGUUCCGAACGUCAGUACAUGUUCUUAUUUAAAACGAAAUCUGUCAAAAUCUGCGCUAUAAUACGAAGGAGCUGGUUAGAUUAUUGCCUUAACAUAUUUAAUUAAUUAAUAGUAAUUACUAUAUAACAUCCAAUUUUAAUUCGGUUUCAAUGAUAAUUUGAAGGCAGAUUGAUUUAUAAAUUAUAAACUAUAAACAUGUUAUACGAAUUCGAGGUUUAAUUUUGUUCAGUCUAUAAGUCACCGUUAAAAUAACACAAUUUUCACAUUGAAUACUCGUAUCUUCCUUCGCGCGACAGUUAAUAGAUAAUGGUCAACAAAAUUGUUUAAUAUCGUUUAUAAAAUAAAAAAUUGCGUUCGCUACCUAUAUACCUAACAAACUAACCCAUUGUAAUGUAAUAAAGUUAAUAAAAACAUGAUCCAUUUGAGCAUAACAUAAAAGGACUGUCGACGUAUUAUACAGGUAACGAUGGUGUUCAUUCAAUUCACCGGUACACGAACGUGGUACGUUUUACAUCAGAAAAAUAAUUUUCACCUACAUAACGUGUCCGGCGUGGUAAAUACGAUCUGACACUAAUAAUAUAAAGUGUAUAGAUGAUGACGAAUAAGGUCACACAGGUUUUAGCCAAAGAAAUUUGAAAAAUAUUAAUCGAACUAUAAAAUCUACGAUAACGACAAAACUUCAUAUUAUUUACCUAUAUAUAAUAACUAUCGUGGGUAUAACGGACAGUGCCGUAGCCGGAGGGGGACGCGACAUAGGACCGACCCUACCACCCCUCUCCGAAAUAUUUCGUUUUGUUGGUUAUAUUUCGGUAUUAUUUUUUCUCGUUUUAUGUAUUUUACCAACUUUUUUUCCGGACAGCGGAUAUGAAAAUACAAAAUGAUAUAUUGUACAUGUUGUGUAUACCAUACAGAAGAUACAUCAAAAUGUCUGCCCGCGUACAGGUAUAUCGCCAGAAUUAGUCACAACCAAAAUUCUUAAUUCGCAGUGGAAAGAAAAAAAACCCAACUGUAAAUUAUUACUGUUAUACAUGUUUCUACGGCGGCGGCAGCGGCGCUGUUUAAAAGAAACGCGAAUUAUGAUACAGGUAGUAUGACAGAAAAAAAAAAAAAAAAAACUAUAUUAUACUUAUUAUAUUUUAAUGCAUUGUCAGCUAAAAACCGUAUACAUUCGACACACUGUUAUAAUAGCGAAGAAAAACUAGACGUCCGCCUAUAUAUAUAUACACAUGUAUAUUAUUCUAUAUACCCACCUAUAUAUAAUACAAUGAAAAUCAAAAAAAAAAAAAAAAAGUUUUUAAAAAAUCGGACAACCAAUUUCGUCUUGCACACAUUCGCAUUGAUUAUUAAUAUUUCGUUCGCUCGCGGGGAAGCGACGAGAUACCUUAUCCAAUCGGAUUCAACACGCUAUCAAUACGAGCAUAUUCGUAGACAUAAACCUCUUCCUUAGAUUGACAUUUAUAAAAAAAAAAAAUUUCUUUUAUUUAUUUACCAUUUUAUACAGAAAAAUUGUUCGUUUAAUGGAUACCUCGUUCCCGCGUUAAUGGUUUUCGUCAAUUUUACGAUGCGAGCGCGCGUUCAAUUUCGUUAUAAUGCAGCAAACAUAAAACGUAAUGACUACGGGCAUACACUUUGGGCGACAAACCGGUAAAUAUUUAAUAUUAUAUCAAUCCGAAACGUUAAAACGCGUACGAUUAAUACGGACGAAGCGGUUAAACGACAUUACAGAUAUUAUGUUAUUUAAACGUUGGCAGAAAAAAUAACAACAACGUUAGGUACCGUGCGUAGAAAUCGAUUGAAAUAUAAUAUUAUAUGAUGGGUACUAAAAUGUUAUUUUCAAUCGUGAAACGCAUUAUUAUAAUAUAAAACUACGAAGACACGUAAACUCGGAAGAAAAAAAAAACAACAAUAAAAAUCAACCCUGUCUAUAGUAAAUAAUCAUAAACCGACGAGGCGUUCCCUAAUCUAAGUCAUUAUAAGACUGCACUUGAAACGAACCAAAGACGGAAUCCUCCGAUCGGCUCAUUAAUCGCUAUUCGCUAAUUUACACUAUCGAUAACGUGAGUUUCUCGACAGUAACAAUAUAAUAAACACACAGUAAUCCAACAUUCAGAAGUUAAGUGUUUUUCACGGUCGAAAACCUACACUAGAGUGUUUCUCCGCGUACGUAACCCACGUUACAAAAGGAAAAUUUGUUAGAGCAUUUCGAACCGGUUUGAAUUUCCCCUUGAAAAGUAAACCGGUGCGGUUUUCAGGAAUUCGUUUUUUUUUGUUUCGUUUUUUUUACGAUCGAGUUGGUCAAAGUUACCAAUCCCGAUUUGCCCCCACCAAUAAACCUACGGUCUACACGACGUUCUUGAUUUAUCGACUACGGUUACUCAACUUUACUGUUCGCUUUCGACAAUUUUAGAGGGAACGAAUGAAACGUGGAGACGAGUCGACGUGUAUACCGCAGCGCAGUGAGAGAAG